CUCGGGCGAGCAGGGGUCAGGCGGGAAAAGAAGACUCCAAAUCCACUCUCUGCUCGCCCCCAGGGCAAUGCUGCCAGGAGAGGGAGUGGGUUCCCCCGCAGGCUAUCCCACCGAUGGGGCUGAGAGCUUAAUUUGGGGUUUUAUUUGAAUUGGAGACAUUGUUCCCUCUUCGCUCCUCUACCCCAUAAAAUUCCCUACAAAUGCAAAAAUUCGAGAUAGAAGAAGCCGUCCCUGAAAUUGCUGUCUAACAUUCACCGGAAACCUCUCCAUAAACAAGGAGAAACGAAUGCACACGCAUUUUUGCUAAGAAGCCCGGGAUUAAGAUUUAAGGAUACAAGCUGAAAGAAAAAAUGAAAAAUGCUUCUCCGCGCGUCAAUCGAGGGGUGGAUGCGCCACGCAGCGUGAGCCCAGCUCACAGCCACGCGUAAGACCAAAAGCUGCCAUGGGUUCUGCGCGCGGAGACCUCAGAGCCGAAGAGAGAAGUCCCCGCGUCAGAAACGCUGCGGAUGCCAGGUCUUGAAAAUGCUGACUUCUGAGGCUAAGAAUUAUUUCAAAGACAAAAAGAAAAGACUGGUGAGGAGGCCUUCCGGUGCAAGGGCGCCUAUCCGCUAAUUUUGGAUGGGGAAGUAGGGAUUAUUCGUUUAAAUUCAAUCGCGAGCACCAAGUCGGACUGGCCGGGGAUGGAGAAGGGCAACCCCCACCUUUAGAAAAAUAAAAGAUCUCGAAGGCC
rnacentral:lncRNA from 1 species